rnacentral:rRNA from 1 species
AGAAUCAACGCUGGCGGCGUGCCUAACACAUGCAAGUCGAACGCGGUUACUUCUGCUUCGCAAGAAGUAGUUGUAACUGAGUGGCGAACGGGUGAGUAACACGUGGGUGACCUGCCUUCGAGUGGGGGAUAACAUCCCGAAAGGGGUGCUAAUACCGCAUGACAUCCUGCCUUUAAAGAGGUGGAGAUUAAAGCUGGGGAUCGUAAGACCUGGCGCUUGAAGAGGGGCCCGCGUCCGAUUAGCUAGUUGGUGGGGUAACGGCCUACCAAGGCGACGAUCGGUAGCCGGCCUGGGAGGGCGGACGGCCACACUGGGACUGAGACACGGCCCAGACUCCUACGGGAGGCAGCAGUGGGGAAUUGUUCGCAAUGGGCGAAAGCCUGACGACGCAACGCCGCGUGGAGGACGAAGAUUUUCGGAUCGUAAACUCCUUUCGAUCGGACGAAUGACUGGUGGCCCAAUACGCCAUCAGAGUGACGGUACCGAGAGAAGAAGCCCCGGCUAACUCCGUGCUAGCACG